GAUGAACGCUGGCGGCGUGCCUAAUACAUGCAAGUUGAGCGAACAGACGAGGAGCUUGCUCCUCUGACGUUAGCGGCGGACGGGUGAGUAACACGUGGAUAACCUACCUAUAAGACUGGGAUAACUUCGGGAAACCGGAGCUAAUACCGGAUAUAUAUUGAACCGCAUGGUUCAAUAGUGAAAGACGGUUUUGCUGUCACUUAUAGAUGGAUCCGCGCCGCAUUAGCUAGUUGGUAAGGUAACGGCUUACCAAGGCGACGAUGCGUAGCCGACCUGAGAGGGUGAUCGGCCACACUGGAACUGAGACACGGUCCAGACUCCUACGGGAGGCAGCAGUAGGGAAUCUUCCGCAAUGGGCGAAAGCCUGACGGAGCAACGCCGCGUGAGUGAUGAAGGUCUUCGGAUCGUAAAACUCUGUUAUUAGGGAAGAACAAAUGUGUAAGUAACUAUGCACGUCUUGACGGUACCUAAUCAGAAAGCCACGGCUAACUACGUG
rnacentral:rRNA from 1 species